GGAGGUAUAGCUCAGUGGUAGAGUGUAUGCCUAGCAUGUGCAAGAUCCUGGUUCAAUCUGCAAUACCUCCA
rnacentral:tRNA from 1 species